rnacentral:miRNA from 1 species
UGUGUGUGUGUGUGUGUGUGUGUGUGUGUGUGUGUAAGUGGUUGAGAGAGGAUCUCCUAUUCUCCUUGCCCAAUGAACAGUACUGUCAGUUCAGAUCACUGUUGGUGGGGUCUUCACAUAGUGGCACUUUGUACUAACACACACACACACACACACACACACACACACACACA